CUGGUGUUUUCCAAAGUUGUUGUCAUUCAAGAGAUGCUUGAUUCUUUUCUGUUACAGUGAACCGUAUUUUCAAUCCUGUUGCAUGAUUCUCCAGUCACAUCCCCUUUGUUAUCAUCUCAAACAUUUAACUAAAUUUUCAUUCUUCUUUUUUUGGCCGGCAAUAUAUUUUGUGCAGUUGGUAAAACAAGCAGUUUUGUCUCGUGGGCAUGGGUUAGCACUUAAGGCAAUAGUGGCCGCGGUAUGUUUGUCUUUGUUACUGAUGUUUAUGCUGUAGUUCAUUAACUGCCGCAGGCUUGCUUUGUGGCCACUAGCAAACAGGUACCAUUUAGUGUCCUGUUUAAUUUUGGCACAUCAUAGCCACAUAAGAAGAAUAACUUCUUGGCAAGCCUGGAUGAAAGGUACAAAUACAUUUGUAGAUGUAGUUAGUUGUGUGGAUGCACUGCCGAAACAAUCUAAAAUGGAACUUGUUUUGUGAAUGACAUCUGUUUUGAAAGAAACAUGGACUGACCAAACGACCUUCAAGUCAGGAAGGCCUCAGCAAGGACAGGGAUAUGCAUUCAUUCUGAGCAAUUGUAAUUAGCCAUUAUAAGAAUUUGUGUCUGUAGGAGGAAGAACUUAAGAAUUUGAGCCUUGUGCAUAUGUUCUGCUUUCCAUCUUUGAAUUUGAAAUUACUGCCGUCACAUAUAAAAAGCUACAAGAACUUUGGGUUGCCAUCUGACGAUAUAAUCAUUGACAAGUAAGAGUUAAUGCUUUGCUAUGCCUGGGGGAAUUGGUGAGCACCAUUGACAAACAUGCCACAUGGGAGAUUUUGCAGACGAUCCAACGGUGUCCUGCUGUUGAUCAUUCAGCUACUACCCUCAUGUGUACUUUGGGAGUUGCAAAUUGGAUUUUCAAGCAGCAUGGCAUUGAAUUUGUUGCCGAGCAUGUCCUUCCACUACUUUUGCCACUUCUCAUUUCACAACAAUCGAGUGUUCAGCAGUUGGCCAACUACAUGCUUUUUGUGAAAGAUAUCCCCAGGUGGUUCAAGCAAGACGACAUGUUUCUUCUGCGGCAAAUAGCAGAGCAGCACGAAAUGAAGAUUGGAGUUCUAUAACAGAAGGACCUCAAUGUCGCUAGUCGUCUGAAACUAGCCUACCUUCGGUUCCGCAGACAGUUAAUGCCACUCCACUGCCAAUGUGGUGUUUUUUUCAUCAAGUCAACAGAUUCCUUCAUCAUGUCCCCCGGUCGUCUUAUGAGUGACCUCCUCAAUCGACUUCAGGGGCUUCAUCCUACUGAGAAACAGAAACCAUAACACUGAUUCAAACCCGUUUUGCCAAUUGCCUCCCCAAGAUCGAUCUAGCAACUCAUUAGGUUUGGGCUUUGCCUGAACUAUUGGCCUAUGGCUAUGAGUCGUAUGAGCAACCAGCUUAAUGGGAACAAUUUUUAAGAACGUUUUUUUGGGACCAGCUUUU